CGAAUCAAAGGCCGGUUGACCCAGGUUGACCGAGUGCAAAAGAUUGUUUUUUGUCAACUUGUUUUUAUACAACCUAAAAUGUUUAGGGCUCUCUUCAAGUUUAGUGAAUGAAGAGGUGGCACGAGUAACGAUCGACCACUAUCGCAAAGUUCUGAGAGCUGAAGAAACCAUUCUACUUUAAACUUCCAAGUUAUGCGAAGAAAUCAUAUAACUUUGAACUGAGCAAACUCUAGACUCUGCUGACCGUCUCCUAGCUGCUGCAUACACGGCCAGCUUCGAAGGUGACGGUAGACUGGAGUCUCGUGGACGGACCAGUGAUUCUCGGGAUUCAGCUGCGGGGAGGGACGCGGAGGUUGGCACUGAAGGUAGC
rnacentral:lncRNA from 1 species